rnacentral:rRNA from 1 species
AGCGAACGCUGGCGGCAGGCUUAACACAUGCAAGUCGAGCGGGCAUCCUUGUGGUGUCAGCGGCAGACGGGUGAGUAACGCGUGGGAACGUGCCCUUCGGUUCGGAAUAACUCAGGGAAACUUUAGCUAAUACCGGAUACGUGCGAGAGCAGAAAGGUUUAUCUGGCGAAGGAUCGGCCCGCGUCUGAUUAGCUAGUUGGUGAGGUUAUGGCUCACCAAGGCGACGAUCAGUAGCUGGUCUGCGAGGAUGAUCAGCCACACUGGGACUGAGACACGGCCCAGACUGCUACGGGAGGCAGCAGUGGGGAAUAUUGGACGAGGGGGGCAACCCUGAUCCAGCCAUGCCGCGUGAGUGAUGACGGCCUUAGGGUUGUAAAGCUCUUUUCGCCGGGACGAUAAUGACGGUACCGGAGGAAUAAGCCCCGGCUAACUUCGUG